UCAGUCGGCCGGACGGCCGCUCCCGCUAUGGUCGAAAGGCUGCGGGGGAGGAAAGUCCGGGCUCCAUCGACAUACGGUGCCGGAUAACGUCCGGCGGGGGCAACCCCAGGGAAAGUGCCACAGAGAACGAACCGCUUCCCCACCCGAAAGGGCGGGGGCAGCAAGGGUGAAAAGGUGCGGUAAGAGCGCACCGCGUAUCCGGCAACGGAAACGGCAUGGCAAACCACACCGGGAGCAAAACCGAAUAGGGACGGCAACGCGGUAAGUUCGCCGCAAGGCGAUAACACCGCAGGGUGAUGUCAGGCCCGCCGUCCGGGUAGGUUGCUCGAGGCCAUGUGCAAGCAUGGUCCCAGAGGAAUGGCCGUCACGUACCAUUCGCAAGAAUGGUGCCCUACAGAACCCGGCUUACAGGCUGGCUGAUAUC
rnacentral:RNase_P_RNA from 1 species